rnacentral:rRNA from 1 species
AGGCCUCUUCGGAGGUACUCGAGCGGCGGACGGCUGUAGUAACGCGUAGGAACGUACCCCAAACUGAGGGAUAAGCACCAGAAAUGGUGUCUAAUACCGCAUGUGCUCUAAGGAGUAAAGCUUCGGCGGUUUGGGAACGGCCUGCGUAUGAUUAGCUUGUUGGUGAGGUAAUGGCUCACCAAGGCGACGAUCAUUAGCUGGUCUGAGAGGAUGAUCAGCCAGACUGGGACUGAGAACGGCCCAGACUCCUACGGGAGGCAGCAGUAGGGAAUUUUCCACAAUGGGCGAAAGCCUGAUGGAGCAACGCCGCGUGCAGGAUGAAUGCCUUCGGGUUGUAAACUGCUUUUAUAUGUGACGAUUAUGACGGUAGCAUAUGAAUAAGGAUCGGCUAACUCCGUGCCAGCAGCCGCGGUCAUACGGAGGAUCCAAGCGUUAUCCGGAAUUACUGGGCGUAAAGAGUUGCGUAGGUGGCAGAGUAAGUAGAUAGUGAAAGCGUGUGGCUCAACCAUACAUCCAUUAUCUAAACUGCUCAGCUAGAGGACGAGAGAGGUAGAUGGAAUUCCCAGUGUAGGAGUGAAAUCCGUAGAUAUUGGGAGGAACACCGAUGGCGUAGGCAGUCUACUGGCUCGUUCCUGACACUAAGGCACGAAAGCGUGGGGAGCAAACGGGAUUAGAUACCCCGGUAGUCCACGCCGUA